rnacentral:tRNA from 3 species
CAGAGCAUAGCUAAACAACCAAAGCAUCUCCCUUACACCGAGAAGGUGUCCGUGCAACUCGGACUGCCCUGA